CAAAAAUCAGAAACCCAUUUUCUCAAUUCCCAUUAAUUUCUCGUCACCUUCACCGUCAUUCUCCUUCUUCUUCCUUCUCAUUCCUUCUCCUUCUUUCUCAUGUAAACCGACCUUCCCUUAUCUCCAAAUCCUUCUCUUUUCCUUCUUCUUCUUUCGUAUAAUCAAGGUAUCAUCUCAACACGCCAUUUUCAAGUGAAUUCCACCUCUUCUUCCAUUCGAUUUUCAUUUGAAAUUAGGGUGGAGAACGGUUCUUUUGGCUUCGAAAUUUAGGGCAAAAACAAGCUUCAAUCACCUUAUACAUCCGAGUUCACAAGAGACCACGUGUAUUUCUCAAUCUUCUUCUUCUUGCUCUGAAUUUCGAAAGGCUGCGUGAAAUCAGUGAGUUUUCUUCCCUUUGUGAUUUCUAAGUAAUUAUCUAAAUUUUUACAUUCUUGAUUAUUUUGCGUAAAUAAUGGCUAAUUGAUUAUCCUUGUUGCUCAUUUCUAAAAUUUGAACCACAAGAAGUAGCAAUCGAAAUCCUUCCCCUUGUCUUCUGGAUGGUUAACAUGGUUAGUCGCUAAAUGUAGAUUCUUAUAUGGCACAAGUAUGAGAACUUGAUCAACAUAGAUUUACGAUAUGUAUGUUAGCUGGAUAUUUGAGUAUAUGCUUUGUUCAACUUCGAAGACGAAGUUUUUCUUAAGUUGGGUAGAAUGUGACAUUCAAAAAUUUAAAAUAAAUAAAAUCAUUUUGGGUUUUAAACUAAUUAGAAAAUUACCAUGAAUCAAGUGAGUUAAGUAGAUAAUAAUAAUAAUAAUAAUAAUAAUAAAAUAAUAAUAAUAAUAAUUAUAAUAAUAAUAAUAAUAAUAAUAAUAAUAAUAAUAAUAAUAAUGAUGAUAUAUAAAAAAAAAAGAAAAAAAAAAACUAAAACUAAUACCCAAAAAUCAGAAACCCAUUUUCCCAAUUCCCAUUAAUUUCUCGUCACCUUCACCGUCAUUCUCCUUCUUCUUCCUUCUCAUUCCUUCUCCUUCUUUCUCAUGUAAACCGACCUUCCCUUAUCUCUAAAUCCUUCUCUUUUCCUUCUUCUUCUUUCGUAUAAUCAAGGUAUCAUCUCAACACGUCAUUUUCAAGUGAAUUCCACCUCUUCUUCCAUUCGAUUUUCAUUUGAAAUUAGGGUGGAGAACGGUUCUUUUGGCUUCGAAAUUUAGGGAAAAAACAAGCUUCAAUCACCUUAUACAUCCGAGUUCACAAGAGACCACGUCUAUUUCUCAAUCAUCUUCUUCUUGCUCUGAAUUUCGAAAGGCUGCGUGAAAUCAAAGUAGCAAUCGAAAUCCUUCCCCUUGUCUUUGAAUUCUGCCGGUUUAGGGGGGGGGGGGGGGGAAGGCAGCUUCAAUCUUGUGGAUUAAACAUCAAAUUCAAAUCAAGAAUCAAGCAUUGAAUCCGAUUUCCAUCUCGUUUUUUUUGGUAGCUGGAACAGAAGGUAGUUCUCUUGAGCCUUCUCUGUUUUCUUGAUGUGUAUUCUUUUAUUCAUAAGCUUUCCAUUGAAUAAUUUAUUAAUCAUGUGUUAAACCCUAAAUUUUAGUGAAUCUUGAAAUUUAUAUAAUUAAUUGGAUGAGUUAUGUUGAUUGGGAGUAUUAGCUGGUUAUGAGAUAUUGGAUAAUUAUUGUUAGGAAUUAGGAAUUUAUGGCAAAUAAUGAUGAUGAUAAGGAUUUCCUGAUUUUGGUUGGGUUAAUGAACUUCUCACGUAAAUGUUAGCUGUUUAUGGAGGUUUUGACAAUGAUGAUGACAAGUAAUUGAGUAAAGUGAUGCUCUUAGAUGAUAUAUUAGAUGUUUGUUGAUUUGAGAACUUGUUAUGGGUAUUAUGUUGAUUGAUAGAUUUAGGUGAAGUUGAGAUUAACCAUUUUUAUUGUGGAUACUCGUCAAGAGCUAAUUGUUAGAUGAUUUAAUAUUUUAGAUGGAUUAUUAAAUUCUUUAUGAGCAAUAGCGAUUGUGGGCUAGAAUGUUUACUUCCAGUUUAAUAAGAUGUAAAUGGUGAAUUAAAGAUCAUGUUUUACUAUUAUAUGAUGUUUAGAAAUGCUAAACCAAGAGUUAUGGGUAAGUAUCAAAUAAUUUGAUAUUCUUGAAAGUAUUAUGUGAUUCUUUGAGGAUUUCUAACAUUGAGUUUAUAUUGGUGUUGAAUUGGAAAUUUAUGGGAAGUGUGUAUUAGUUAGUUUUGUGAUGAUGAGAAUUUAGGUGUGGAUUAUGAUUUUGGUAGUAGAUUAUCUGAAUGAUAUAGUUUGGUUAGUUCUGUAUUCUUGGGUAAACUAGCUGAAUCUUUCUCUUGGGUAGUUUGUUAAUUUUGGUUUAGUGUCUUGGUUGAGUUUAAGAUGAGUAUGGAAGUGGUUGAAUUGAAGUACAAAGAAAAUUGUGGAGAUGUAUGAUCUUUAUAAGAAUAUAAGCUAGUCUUAAACAAGAAUUUGGGAUUUGGAGUUAGAAUUUGCGUAAUCUUUGUAAUUGGAAAUAUUAGAAUAGUUGGUGAAGCUAUGCGUUCUUAGGAUGAGUAGUAAUGAACUAUAUGAACCUAGCUGUAGUAUCUUAUGCGUUGUUGUGAUGCUGUAUUUAUUAUGCUUCAGGAAGCGACAUUAUCGAAGAGCCCUUCUAAUAAUCGCGGGGUAGCAGACUCGGCCUCUUGAAGCGUUCUUUUUGGUGAGUAGUAACAGUCCCUUAAAGGGUCUGGCCAGACUACUUUCUUGAAAAUAAACUUUUUACUAAAGCUCUUUUGAAUUGGAUAUUGUUGAGACAAAUGUUGUUGUGAAUGCUUAUGCUGAUAUUAUGAUAUGGUCAAUGGAUCGGGCUUCCGAGCUGGUCAUUGACGGAGUUGAGGAACACUGUUCCCUGCUCCCUAUUUUUGAAGCGAAUUGUCAUUGAGAUAUUGACUAGCUUCACCCGAGAGCGACAUAGCCUUAGAGCUAUGGGGCACCUCUCAAACUAGACUCCCUGUGCGCACAUAGAUCUAGGAAACUGAUGUUGCUUUUAAACCAUUGUUUUGAACUGCUGUGUUUAAUUGUUUUCGAUUGUUGCUUCUCACUCAGUUUAAUCUGAUCCUCUGUUGUUUCCAUCUUUUAGUCUGAUUACAGAUCGGAACCGGUCGGGAACGAUGGGUUAGCGGUGUUGAAUAGCGUUCCAAGGAUGUAUAUUGAGCUGAGCACGUAGGAAUUUGUAGAUUUGUAUUAGGAUUUUGGAUAAAUGUAUAUUUCUUUUGGCUGUGCUGGUUAUAUCGGACUUGUAGAGAAUUGUAUGAUUAUCUUGUGUAUUAGUUAGAUGUUGGUUUUGGGAUUUAGCUGAGUUAGUCACGUUGAAGAGCUUGUGAUUCCUUUGCUUGAGUUUUGGAAGUGUGAUUUCAGUUUCUUGGAAAACGAACCUAGUGAUGACCCUGUUUACCCAGUCAACGGUAAGUCGGGUUGUUACAGUUGGUAUCAGAGCCAAACCGCGACCGUGGCUAAUCCUUAGGGUUAGUUCAUCUAGCGGGCAUACAAUCUUGGGAGUAAGGAAAAAACGUGACUUGAGGAUUUAGAUGUUUAAGAUAAGAGAUAGAAAUAGAAGUGAAUAUGAUUGUGGAAUUAACCUAGGUGUUUGGGUUAGUCAUGUUUUUCUAGAAAUGUAGGAUUUGAGGUGUGAGGAUUACGGGGUGAAACGGGAAAACGCUCUUAACGAUUGAUCGUGACGGCAAGAAGAUUCAGUUCGACGAUGCAAUGUUAGAAUUUGAUUUCUGAUGAUGCCAAUGUUUUGUUUCUUAUCAUAGUUACUUUUCGAUUAUCGUUUUAGUAGCUAGAAUAGUAUGUCCUAAGAUUGCGAAUCGUGUCACGUUGUUGCUAGCCCUUUCCUAUCAGCUUUUGUUUGUUGAUCCAAGAUUAUGAUUAUAGAUUGGUAUAUAAAAGCGAGGUCAUCGGGUUGUGAAGUAUGUAUCGUUAGUGUUUUGUUGUAAGUGAGUUGAACUUUAAAAAUGAUUGUGACAUAGUAAGAGAAUUAGUAAAGACAAAGUAUUGCACAUCAUUGAUGGAAAAGCUUAAGUUAAGAGCAAUUGAUAUUGAUUUUUAAGCCUAGUGAUUGAGUUGCAUAUAGUGUUCAUAUUUUGAUCAACUUUUAGUGUUAUUGGAUCUUGUCAUACGUUGUAAUCUAUUUGAAUAUUGGAGCCUAUAGAUUUAGUAGAGUUAUUAGAACAUUGUGUGAUUAUCAUUAAGAAUGUACCAAGUUUCUUUUGUUGGUUAGAAGUGCAAAUAUAGCUUAAGGAUGGAAGGUCACUGGAAAACUUGAGGUUUUGUUAAAGUACAAAAAGGUUGUAUCAACAUCAAGAAUAGAAGUAGGUUUUCAACAAAAGUUGUUAUAAAGGAUCUUGAGUCAUAGACUUAAGUUAUCAAAAUAGUAUGGUUCAUACGUUCUAAAGAUGGCAUUUAAAGUUUAAGAAGUUGGGUUAUAAAGAUUAUAGGUUAUUUGAUUGAGACAGUAGUUGGUAAAUUGUAAACACCUCAUAGAUGAUCUUAGUGGGUAUAUGUGAAAAUAGUCAAUACUUGAGUUGUUAUUAUUGAAAAGUUGUGCUUAGCAGUUAUGAUACAAAUUUAUGUUUGAGUUAAAGCUUAUAAGGAUUAUGGUCUAGUUACUUAGUCGAUAAUUCAAUUGAGAAUAUUUGGAUGAAGAAUGCAAAUAAAUGUUUAAUUGAGUUUAUAAUAAACUAUACUUUGGCUUCUAUACGGGACAAGUUACUUAUGAAUUUAUUAGGUUUUGAUUGGAAAGUGGUGCAUGAUAUCAACCUAGGUGAGGUAGUUUAUCGUCUUGCGUUACCAACAUCUUUUGACCGAGUGCAUGACGUGUUUUGCGUAUCCCAGCUGAGACAAUACAUCAGAGAUGACUCACAGGUUCUUUGGCCGAACAGUUGACCCUGGAUAAUACCUUGCAGUACGAGGAGACCCCCGUUCAGAUCCUAGAUAGGAAGGCGCGUGAUACACGUUGAGGUAGUAUAGCGCUUGUGAAGGUGCUAUGGUCUAAUCACGUUACCGAAGAAGCCACGUGGGAGGCAGUAGAUGCCAUGAGACGCGAUUAUCCCUGGUUGUUUGCUUAGGCAUUUCUAUGUUUAUCGCUUUAUAGCUAUUGCAUCUCCUUAGACUUUGUGAGUUAAGUUCGAGGACGAACUUUAUUCUAAGAAGGGUAGGAUUUUUGGAUUCAGAAUAGUUUUAGUAAGUCUGGAUGGUUAACAUGGUUAGUCGCUAAAUGUAGAUUCUUAUAGGGCACAAGUAUGAGAACUUGAUCAACAUAGAUUUACGAUAUGUAUGUUAGCUGGAUAUUUGAGUAUAUGCUUUGUUCAACUUCGAAGACGAAUUUUUCCUUAAGUUGGGUAGAAUGUGACAUUCGGAAAUUUAAAAUAAAUAAAAUCAUUUUGGGUUUUAAACUAAUUAGAAAAUUACCAUGAAUCAAGUGAGUUAAGUAGGUAGUAAUAAUAAUAAUAAUAAUAAUAAUAAUAAUAAUAAUAAUAAUAAUAAUAAUUAUAAUAAUUAUAAUAAUAAUAAUAAUGAUGAUGAUGACAUAUAAAAAAAAGAAAAAAAAAACUAAAACUAAUACCCAAAAAUUAGAAACCCAUUUUCCCAAUUCCCAUUAAUUUCUCGUCACCUUCACCGUCAUUCUCCUUCUUCUUCCUUCUCAUUCCUUCUCCUUCUUUCUCAUGUAAACCGACCUUCCCUUAUCUCUAAAUCCUUCUCUUUUCCUUCUUCUUCUUUCGUAUAAUCAAGGUAUCAUCUCAACACGCCAUUUUCAAGUGAAUUCCACCUCUUCUUCCAUUCGAUUUUCAUUUGAAAUUAGGGUGGAGAACGGUUCUUUUGGCUUCGAAAUUUAGGGAAAAAACAAGCUUCAAUCACCUUAUACAUCCGAGUUCACAAGAGACCACGUGUAUUUCUCAAUCUUCUUCUUCUUGCUCUGAAUUUCGAAAGGCUGCGUGAAAUCAGUGAGUUUUCUUCCCUUUGUGAUUUCUAAGUAAUUAUCUAAAUUUUUACAUUCUUGAUUAUUUUGCGUAAAUAAUGGCUAAUUGAUUAUCCUUGUUGCUCAUUUCUGAAAUUUGAACCACAAGAAGUAGCAAUCGAAAUCCUUCCCCUUGUCUUUGAAUUCUGCCGGUUUAGGGGGGGGAAGGCAGCUUCAAUCUUGUGGAUUAAACAUCAAAUUCAAAUCAAGAAUCAAGCAUUGAAUCCAAUUUCCAUCUCGUUUUUUUUGGUAGCUGGAACAGAAGGUAGUUCUCUUGAGCCUUCUCUGUUUUCUUGAUGAGUAUUCUUUUAUUCAUAAGCUUUCCAUUGAAUAAUUUAUUAAUCAUGUGUUAAACCCUAAAUUUUAGUGAAUCUUGAAAUUUAUAUAAUUAAUUGGAUGAGUUAUGUUGAUUGGGAGUAUUAGCUGGUUAUGAGAUAUUGGAUAAUUAUUGUUAGGAAUUAGGAAUUUAUGGCAAAUAAUGAUGAUGAUAAGGAUUUCCUGAUUUUGGUUGGGUUAAUGAACUUCUCACGUAAAUGUUAGCUGUUUAUGGAGGUUUUGACAAUGAUGAUGACAAGUAAUUGAGUAAAGUGAUGCUCUUAGAUGAUAUAUUAGAUGUUUGUUGAUUUGAGAACUUGUUAUGGGUAUUAUGUUGAUUGAUAGAUUUAGGUGAAGUUGAGAUUAACCAUUUUUAUUGUGGAUACUCGUCAAGAGCUAAUUGUUAGAUGAUUUAAUAUUUUAGAUGGAUUAUUAAAUUCUUUAUGAGCAAUAGCGAUUGUGGGCUAGAAUGUUUAUUUCCAGUUUAAUAAGAUGUAAAUGGUGAAUUAAAGAUCAUGUUUAACUAUUAUAUGAUGUUUAGAAAUGCUAAACCAAGAGUUAUGGGUAAGUAUCGAAUAAUUUGAUAUUCUUGAAAGUAUUAUGUGAUUCUUUGAGGAUUUCUAACAUUGAGUUUAUAUUGGUGUUGAAUUGGAAAUUUAUGGGAAGUGUGUAUUAGUUAGUUUUGUGAUGAUGAGAAUUUAGGUGUGGAUUAUGAUUUUGGUAGUAGAUUAUCUGAAUGAUAUAGUUUGGUUAGUUCUGUAUUCUUAAGUAAACUAGCUGAAUCUUUCUCUUGGGUAGUUUGUUAAUUUUGGUUUAGUGUCUUGGUUGAGUUUAAGAUGAGUAUGGAAGUGGUUGAAUUGAAGUACAAAGGAAAUUGUGGAGAUGUAUGAUCUUUAUAAGAAUAUAGCUAGUCUUAAACAAGAAUUUGGGAUUUGGAGUUAGAAUUUGCGUAAUCUUUGUAAUUGGAAAUAUUAGAAUAGUUGGUGAAGCUAUGCGUUCUUAGGAUGAAUAGUAAUGAACUAUAUGAACCUAGCUGUAGUAUCUUAUGUGUUGUUGUGAUGCUGUAUUUGUUAUGCUUCAGGAAGCGACAUUAUCGAAGAGCCUUUCUAAUAAUCGCGGGGUAGCAGACUUGGCCUCUUGAAGCGUUCUUUUUGGUAAAGUGGACAAACAAAAAGGAACGGAGGGAGUAUUGAAGAGAGACAUUGAUGUUGUUGUCCACAUGUAUAUGGAAAGGUUGGCGAAGCUACUAAAAAGACUGUUAAAGAGGAGGGUGUUGUGCUUUUUAUUCAACAAAUAUUUCAAGAUAAUGAUUGGUUGUCUUCGAUUGUUGUAUUGGUGGCACUGUUAAUCAAAAAAACAAAUGCAAUAAAACUGCAAAUAUUGAUGCAGCUAAGCAGUCUACACCUAUUCAAACACAAGCAAAACUUGAUAUAGCAAACAUUCCCUCGGCUUUGAAGGAAUGUUGUUCUAUUAACUUAGGGUCAUUCGGUGUUGAGGUCCCGUAUGUGUCCCAGUUCAUGAUCACAAACAAAGAAAUAUACAAAGACUUGCAUUCUUUGGAGAAGGAGGUGCUAGAUUUCUAUUUUCUAAAGGAAACAAUGGAUAAGUUUGAAGAUAUAUUUGCUUGUCAAGAUUAUUAUUCUUUUAUCACGUGAUGAAGCUUUCACUUUGAAGGAUAAUGAAAAGAUUUCUUCCAUUGUGUUUGAUUGUUGGGCGGUGUACUUGAAUAUGAUUGAAAGGAAUCAAGAGGUGUUUUUGCCUGACAAAGAAUUGAAAACAUUUUUAUUCACAUAUAACAUUGUGCAAGUGUUUUAUCCUUUUGUUAUUACCAGCUUGUAUUAUAUUUAUUGUACAUAGUAGUUAGUUGGUCAUUGGUUUCAUUUAACAGCGUGCUUUAGGAAUGUUAUUGGCCGAGAAGAAUGAUGUGAAAGCAAAUGGCUUAAAGGUCGAGGUUUUUGAUGCUUGGAAAAAAUGAUGCUAAUUUGAUUAGGGCCAAUUCUGAAAUCAAGAAGACAAACAUAGUUCAAUUUCCAUUUCAGCUCUCUCAAUCAGUUUACUUCAUCACUUGCCGUAUUGUAGAGCUCUUUUACUACUUUUCUUGUUUCUUCUUUGCCUUGUGACUAUAAAACAAGGUUGUAAAUUUUACGCCCCAUGCCUCGUCACCAUGUAAUUGUAGAUAUUCUUUGUGGUUCCAAGCCUUAGGUAAACAUUGAUUACCAUAAAAGUGUAUCCCAAAUAUCCUUUUGGCAUUCUUUGUCCACCUUGAAAAAAUGUAGAAAGCGGUAUAUUUUGCACAAAAUGCAAGUGUAGUACCCGUAAACAAUGGCACCACAACCAUCUAUUUGAUUUAAAGUUCUUACAAAUACAGUCAACAUGUAUAAUAUCAUUGUAUUUGGAGCAACAACAUAUUUAAUAACAGCUUGUCUAAAUUCUAUAACAUUACCAAACACAAUUCCAACACACCAUUCAAACUUCCUGAAGUCAGUCUUAUCAUGAACUACAACAGGUAUUUCAAUUUCAUCAUCACUAUUUUCAUAAUCAGAAACUACAUCAUUUAAAGGGUACACACCAAUUUGUAGAUUUGAUUGGACACCACCUUCAUCCUCCUCCAUCGACAAGUCUUGACUUAAAACAAGUUCAAGUGACUCAUAUCCUUCAGAAUCUUGCUCAUCUGAGAAAACAUAGUCCAGAUCUUCACUA